GGGGAUACACUUAGAACCCCAGGAGCGGCGUGUUAAUAGUCGUGCUUUUUGGCCAGGCGCGAUGGUUAGUGAAUC
rnacentral:ncRNA from 1 species